rnacentral:rRNA from 1 species
AACGAACGCUGGCGGCAUGCCUAACACAUGCAAGUCGAACGAGACCUUCGGGUCUAGUGGCGAACGGGUGCGUAACGCGUGGGAACCUGCACUUAGGUUCGGAAUAACUCCCCGCAAGGGGCGCUAAUACCGGAUAAUGUCUUCGGACCAAAGAUUUAUCGGCUUUGGAUGGGCCCGCGUUGGAUUAGCUAGUUGGUAGGGUAAAAGCCUACCAAGGCGACGAUCCAUAGCUGGUCUGAGAGGAUGAUCAGCCACACUGGGACUGAGACACGGCCCAGACUCCUACGGGAGGCAGCAGUGGUGAAUAUUGGACAAUGGGCGAAAGCCUGAUCCAGCAAUGCCGCGUGAGUGAUGAAGGCCUUAGGGUUGUAAAGCUCUUUUACCCGGGAUGAUAAUGACAGUACCGGGAGAAUAAGCUCCGGCUAACUCCGUG